UGACUUCAUUUGACUCUGUUUUUCGUGCCAGCAGUCGACUGCCGCCGCCGCCGCCGGCGGUGGCGAAGCCUUUGGCCAGGGCCCGAAGAGUGUGGCCAACCAGCCCCAGCAGAGGGUUCGAGACGGAGGACAAGGAGGCUUGCCUCCAGGACGUGCUCCGAGACUGCGGCAGAGCGAUGGACAUCCUCCCCACCUUCGCCACUCCUCGAAGCGCGGCCUAGGCUUGGCUUCCCGCCUCCGCUUCUCCGCAUGCCGACCCACCAAGACCAACUCCAUGUCCUUGGUCGUCGCCGCUUGCUCUUACAUCUCGGACAUUUUCUUCCAAGGAACCCAUCUUGGAAUUCUUUUGCGCUUCAAGGAUCUCAAGUCCUACGUAACCCGAGUGAGUAGUCCAAGCUGUCCAUUGCCAAAGGAUCGCGUCGCGCCAAGGGUAUCAAGGGCAAGAUUGAUGAUGGAAUCGUCAGCAAACGAGAGACGUGCGAAGAAAAAAGGAAGCUGUGAAGAAACGAAAAAGGAGAAGAGAGAGAAGAGAGUUGAAGUUGGGUCGAGAUUUAGGGAUUUGAAUACGAAAGAAGAAGAAACAAAGUGAGAGAUGACUUGAGGGAGCAACGGGAGCUAUGAGGAAACAAAAAGAAGUCUGAUGACGUCAGGGUGGGGCCUAGUGUGUACAUGUGGCAACUGAUGAAUGGAUUACUGUAAAUCCAAUGUGGCACCACCCAAGCACCCAAUCAUCAAUUCUGAGACGACUAAUAAAUUACCUCAGGAAGGGGAAGAUCUCCCAUUUCACUGUCACCAUGGGUUGGAGCUUCUUCUAAUGCUACAGAAGACAUAGCGAGAAGCAUCCGGAUUGUUGCCAUAUCUUCUGAUGAAACCUCUAGUGUUCCCUUUGCUCCCUAAGUGAUGAUGUAUCUUCAUCUGGACAAAGCAAAGGCAAUUUCGUGAAUCAACAAAGUCCUUGUUUUGCAGUUUGGUUGUCGUAACGAUGGAGGUAAUCUCUGGCAAUGUUUGUUGACAACUAUUUACAAAUGUAACAUGUUUGUCUAUGUAUGCAUUUGAAUCUUGGAUUGUGUGUCAAGACCUACAUUUGGGUUGCA